AUUGAACGCUGGCGGCAUGCUUUACACAUGCAAGUCGAACGGUAACAGGCCGCAAGGUGCUGACGAGUGGCGAACGGGUGAGUAAUACAUCGGAACGUGCCCGAUCGUGGGGGAUAACGAAGCGAAAGCUUUGCUAAUACCGCAUACGAUCUACGGAUGAAAGCAGGGGACCGCAAGGCCUUGCGCGAACGGAGCGGCCGAUGGCAGAUUAGGUAGUUGGUGGGAUAAAAGCUUACCAAGCCGACGGUCUGUAGCUGGUCUGAGAGGACGACCAGCCACACUGGGACUGAGACACGGCCCAGACUCCUACGGGAGGCAGCAGUGGGGAAUUUUGGACAAUGGGCGCAAGCCUGAUCCAGCAAUGCCGCGUGCAGGAUGAAGGCCUUCGGGUUGUAAACUGCUUUUGUACGGAACGAAAAGCCCUGGGUUAAUACCCUGGGGUCAUGACGGUACCGUAAGAAUAAGCACCGGCUAACUACGUGCCAGCCGCCGCAGUAAAAC
rnacentral:rRNA from 1 species